CUUAAAACUUACCAUAGCCCCAUAACCUAAUUCCCGGGUAUUACCUUCAGGAAGCCCGAACACCCCAAAUAUUUUUUUUUCAUUUUUCAUUUUUGUUGGUGUAACCAACUCCAAAAGGUUGGAAAAGAGUUCCUACAAAGGUUUUGGACAGUGAUUUUAACCCUAACGCCAAAAAACUUAAACCUUACCCUAGCCUUAAAAUCUAAUACCCGGGUAUUACAUUCAGGAAGCCCGAAAACCCCAAAUAUAUAUUUUUUCAUUUUUCUUUUUUUUUUUUUGGUUUAACUAACUCCAAAAGGUUGGAAAAGAGUUCCUACAAAGGUUUUGGACAGUGAUUUUAACCCUAACGCCAAAAACCUUAAACCUUACCCUAGCCUUAAAAUCUAAUACCCUGGUAUUACCUUCAGGAAGCCUGAACACCCCAAAUAUUUUUUUCUUCAUUUUACAUUUUUGUUGGUGUAACCAACUCCAAAAGGUUGGAAAAGAGUUCCUACAAAGGUUUUGGACAGUGAUUUUAACCCUAAUGCCAAAAAACUUAAACCUUACCCUAGCCUUAAAAUCUAAUACCCGGGUAUUACAUUCAGGAACCCCAAAAACCCCAAAUAUUGUUUUUUCAUUUUUCAUUUUUUUUUGGUCUAACUAACUCCAAAAGGUUGGAAAAGAGUUCCUACAAAGGUUUUGGACAGUGAUUUUAACCCUAACGCCAAAAAACUUAAACCUUACCAUAGCCCCAAAACCUAAUACCCGGGUAUUACUUUCAGGGAGCCCGAAAACCCCCAAUAAUAUUUUUUUCUUUUUUCAUAUUUUUUGGUCUAACUAACUCCAAAAGGUUGGAAAAGAGUUCCUACAAAGGUUUUGGACAGUGAUUUUAACCCUAACGCCAAAAACCUUAAACCUUACCCUAGCCUUAAAAUCUAAUACCCUGGUAUUACCUUCAGGAAGCCUGAACACCCCAAAUAUUUUUUUCUUCAUUUUACAUUUUUGUUGGUGUAACCAACUCCAAAAGGUUGGAAAAGAGUUCCUACAAAGGUUUUGGACAGUGAUUUUAACCCUAAUGCCAAACAAAAUUAAACCUUACCCUAGCCUUAAAAUCUAAUACCCGGGUAUUACAUUCAGGAACCCCAAAAACCCCAAAUAUUGUUUUUUCAUUUUUCAUUUUUUUUUGGUCUAACUAACUCCAAAAGGUUGGAAAAGAGUUCCUACAAAGGUUUUGGACAGUGAUUUUAACCCAAACGCCAAAAAACUUAAACCUUACCAUAGCCCCAAAACCUAAUACCCGGGUAUUACUUUCAGGGAGCCCGAAAACCCCCAAUAAUAUUUUUUUCUUUUUUCAUAUUUUUUGGUCUAACUAACUCCAAAAGGUUGGAAAAGAGUUCCUACAAAGGUUUUGGACAGUGAUUUUAACCCUGACGCCAAAAAACUUAAACCUUUCCCUGGCCUUAAAAUCUAAUACCCGGGUAUUACCUUCAGGAAGCCCGAACACCCCAAAUAUUUUUUUUUCAUUUAUCUUUUUUUUUUGUCUAACUAACUCCAAAAGGUUGGAAAAGACUUCCUACAAAGGUUUUGGACAGUGAUUUUAACCCUCACGCCAAAAACCUUAAACUUUAACCUAGCCCCAUAACCUAAUACCCGGGUAUUACCUUCAGGAAGCCCGAACACCCCAAAUAUAUAUUUUUUCUUUUUCUUUUUUUUUUGGUCAAACUAGCUCCAAAAGGUCUGAAACAUGUUCCUUAAAAAAUAUUGGACAGUGAUUUUAACCCUUACGCCAAAAACCUUAAACCUAAUC